rnacentral:tRNA from 2 species
GCGCCCGUAGCUCAGUUGGAUAGAGCGCCGGACUUCGAAUCCGUAGGUCGGGGGUUCGAGACCCUCCGGGCGCGCCA